CCGCCUGUUAUUAAAAACAUGGCCUAUUGAUUAUGAUUUUAGGUCUGGCCUGCCCAAUGAUUUUUAUUUAAUGGCCGCGGUAAUUUGACCGUGCAAAGGUAGCAUAAUCAUUAGUUUCUUAAUUGGAAGCUUGUAUGAAAGGUUUGAUGAGAAAAUAGCUGUCUCUAUUUAAAUUUUUUAAAAUUUUAUUUUUAAGUUAAAAAGCUUAAAUUUUAAUAGAAGACGAGAAGACCCUAUAGAGUUUAAUAAAUUUAUUGUUAAAUAAUAUUUUAGUAUUUUUAAGUUUGUUGAUAAAUUUAUUUAGUUGGGGUGAUUGAAAAAUUUAUUUAACUUUUUUUGUAUUAGAUCAUUGAUUGAUGAGUAUUUGAUCCUUUUUUAAAGAUUAAAAGAUAAAAUUACCUUAGGGAUAACAGCGUUAUUUUUUUUUAGAGUUCUAAUCGAAAGAAAAGAUUGCGACCUCGAUGUUGGAUUAAAAGAAAUUAUUGGUGUAGAAGCUAAUAAAUUAGGUCUGUUCGACCUUUAAAAUUUUACAUGAUCUGAGUUUAAACCGGUGUGAGCCAGGUCGGUUUCUAUCU
rnacentral:rRNA from 1 species